rnacentral:rRNA from 1 species
UCAGAUUGAACGCUGGCGGCAGGCCUAACACAUGCAAGUCGAACGGUAACAGAAAGCAGCUUGCUGCUUUGCUGACGAGUGGCGGACGGGUGAGUAAUGUCUGGGAAACUGCCUGAUGGAGGGGGAUAACUACUGGAAACGGUAGCUAAUACCGCAUAACGUCGCAAGACCAAAGAGGGGGACCUUCGGGCCUCUUGCCAUCGGAUGUGCCCAGAUGGGAUUAGCUUGUUGGUGGGGUAACGGCUCACCAAGGCGACGAUCUCUAGCUGGUCUGAGAGGAUGACCAGCCACACUGGAACUGAGACACGGUCCAGACUCCUACGGGAGGCAGCAGUGGGGAAUAUUGCACAAUGGGCGCAAGCCUGAUGCAGCCAUGCCGCGUGUAUGAAGAAGGCCUUCGGGUUGUAAAGUACUUUCAGCGGGGAGGAAGGGAGUAAAGUUAAUACCUUUGCUCAUUGACGUUACCCGCAGAAGAAGUACCGGCUAACUCCGUGCCAGCAGCCGCGGUAAUACGGA